rnacentral:tRNA from 1 species
CCGCCCUUAGCUCAGGUGGAUAGAGCACUCGCCUUCUAAGCGAGCGGUCACACGUUCGAAUCGUGUAGGGCGGGCCA